rnacentral:rRNA from 1 species
CGCGGAAUAUUGGACAAUGGAGGCAAGUGUGAUCCAGCCAUMCCGCGUGCAGGAAGACUGCCCUAUGGGUUGUAAACUGCUWUUAUACAGGAAGAAACUGHGCUACGUGUAGGGGAAUGACGGUACUGUAAGAAUAAGGAUMGGCUAACUCCGUGCCAGCAGCCGCGGUAAUACGGAGGAUCCAAGCGUUAUCCGGAAUCAUUGGGUUUAAAGGGUCCGUAGGUGGUCYGUUAAGUCAGAGGUGAAAUCCUAUCGCUCAACAUAGCACUGCCUUUGAUACUGAUAGACUUGAGUUAUUGUGAAGUAGUAGAAURUGAUGUGUAGCGGUGAAAUGAUAGAUAUUACAUGAAUACCGAUUGCGAAGGCAGAUUACUAACAAUAUACUGACACUGAGGGACGAAAGCGUGGGUAGCGAACAGGAUUAGAUACCCUGGUAGUCCACGCCGUAAACGAUGGUCACUAGCUGUUUGACUAACAUUUUUUGGUUGAGUGGCUAAGCGA